UGGCGAGGUUAACCGAAUAGGGGAGCCGUAGAGAAAUCGAGUCCGAACAGGGCGACAGUCGCUGGGUGUAGACCCGAAACCAAGUGAUCUACCCAUGGCCAGGAUGAAGGUGCGGUAACACGCCCUGGAGGUCCGAACCCACUAAUGUUGAAAAAUUAGGGGAUGAGCUGUGGGUAGGGGUGAAAGGCCAAUCAAACUCCGUGAUAGCUGGUUCUCCCCGAAAUGCAUUUAGGUGCAGCGUCGCGUGUUUCUUGCCGGAGGUAGAGCUACUGGAUGGCCGAUGGGCCCUACAAGGUUACUGACGUCAGCCAAACUCCGAAUGCCGGUAAGUGAGAGCGCAGCAGUGAGACUGCGGGGGAUAAGCUUCGUAGUCGAGAGGGAAACAGCCCAGAUCAUCAGCUAAGGCCCCUAAGCGUGUGCUAAGUGGGAAAGGAUGUGGAGUUGCUGAGACAACCAGGAGGUUGGCUUAGAAGCAGCCAUCCUUGAAAGAGUGCGUAAUAGCUCACUGGUCGAGAGGCCUUGCGCCGAAGAUGUCCGGGGCUCAAGUACAGAACCGAAGUCGCGGCAGGAUUUAUAAUUCUGGGUAGGGGAGCGUUGUAUAUCCGACUGAAGGUGUACCGGAAGGAGCGCUGGAGGAUAUACAAGAGAGAAUGCCGGUAUGAGUAGCGAAAAGAACAGUGAGAAUCUGUUCCACCGAAAGCCUAAGGUUUCCUGAGCAACGCUCGUCGACUCAGGGUAAGUCGGGACCUAAGCCGAGGCAAAAAGCAUAGGCGAUGGACAACAGGUUAAUAUUCCUGUACCGC
rnacentral:rRNA from 1 species